rnacentral:rRNA from 1 species
GACGAACGCUGGCGGCGUGCUUAACACAUGCAAGUCGAACGGAAAGGCCCUGCUUUUGUGGGGUUCUCGAGUGGCGAACGGGUGAGUAACACGUGAGUAACCUGCCCUUGACUUUGGGAUAACUUCAGGAAACUGGGGCUAAUACCGGAUAGGAGCUCCUGCUGCAUGGUGGGGGUUGGAAAGUUUUGGCGGUUGGGGAUGGACUCGCGGCUUAUCAGCUUGUUGGUGGGGUAGUGGCUUACCAAGGCUUUGACGGGUAGCCGGCCUGAGAGGGUGACCGGCCACAUUGGGACUGAGACACGGCCCAGACUCCUACGGGAGGCAGAAGUGGGGAAUAUUGCACAAUGGGCGGAAGCCUGAUGCAGCAACCCCGCGUGUGGGAUAACGGCCUUCGGGUUGUAAACCGCUUUCGCCUGUGACGAAGCGUGAGUGACGGUAAUGGGUAAAGAAGCCCCGGCUAAAUACGUG